rnacentral:rRNA from 1 species
AUGAGUGCUUUAGGCCGUCCACAAGAUAUGUUUUCGGAUACUGCCAUACAAUUACAACCUAUCUUUGCUCAAUGGGUACAAAAUAUCCAUGCUACUGCGCCUGGCGUAACAGCUCCUGGUGCAACAACAAGUACUAGCUUAGCGUGUGGAGGCGGCGAGUUAGUAGCAGUAGGUGGCAAAGUGGCUUUGUUACCUAUUCCAUUAGGAACCGCAGAUUUUUUAGUCCAUCACAUUCAUGCAUUUACCAUACAUGUGACUGUAUUAAUACUUUUGAAAGGUGUUUUAUUUGCUCGGAGUUCCCGUUUGAUACCCGAUAAAGCAAAUCUAGGUUUUCGCUUUCCUUGCGAUGGGCCUGGCCGAGGGGGAACAUGUCAAGUAUCCGCCUGGGAUCAUGUUUUCUUAGGUUUAUUCUGGAUGUACAAUGCAAUUUCGGUAGUCAUUUUCCAUUUCAGUUGGAAAAUGCAGUCGGAUGUUUGGGGUACUAUAAGUGAUCAAGGGGUGGCAACUCAUAUUACAGGGGGAAACUUUGCACAGAGUUCCAUUACGAUUAAUGGGUGGCUUUGA